AUUGAACGCUGGCGGCAGGCCUAACACAUGCAAGUCGAGCGGCAGCGGGAAAGUAGCUUGCUACUUUUGCCGGCGAGCGGCGGACGGGUGAGUAAUGCCUGGGAAAUUGCCCAGUCGAGGGGGAUAACAGUUGGAAACGACUGCUAAAACCGCAUACGCCCUACGGGCGAAAGCAGGGGACCUUGCGGCCUUGGGCGAUUGGAUAUGCCCAGGUGUGAUUAGCUAGUUGGUGAGGUAAUGGCUCACCAAGGCGACGAUCCCUAGCUGGUCUGAGACGAUGAUCAGCCACCCUUGAACUGAGACACGGUCCAGACUCCUACGGGAGGCAACAGUGGGGAAUAUUGCACAAUGGGGGAAACCCUGAUGCAGCCAUGCCGCGUGUGUGAAGAAGGCCUUCGGGUUGUAAAGCACUUUCAGCGAGGAGGAAAGGUUGAUGCCUAAUACGUAUCAACUGUGACGUUACUCGCAGAAGAAGCACCGGCUAACUCCGUGCCAGCCGCCGCCGUAACAC
rnacentral:rRNA from 1 species